AAGUAUUAAAGGUAUCGCCUGCCCAGUGAAAAUUUUUAACGGCCGCGGUAUUCUAACCGUGCAAAGGUAGCGUAAUCACUUGUCUCCUAAAUAGAGACCAGUAUGAACGGCUAAAUGAGGACAAACCUGUCUCUUAUAACUAAUCAGUGAAACUGAUCUCCCAGUACAAAAGCUGGGAUCAACACAUAAGACGAGAAGACCCCGUGGAGCUUAAAACAAACCACCAAUUUUAAUCGGUGCACUGUUUUGAGUUGGGGCGACUUCGGAACACAACAAAACUUCCGAGCACAGAACCACCAAUCUCUAACCGAGGCCAACAAGCCUAAGUGUUAACAAGACCCGGCUACACGCCGAUCAACGAACCAAGUUACCCCGGGGAUAACAGCGCUAUCUUCUUCAAGAGUCCCUAUCAACAAGAAGGUUUACGACCUCGAUGUUGGAUCAGGACACCCAAAUGGUGCAGCCGCUAUUAAAGGUUCGUUUGUUCAACGAUUAACAGUCCUACGUGAUCUGAGUUCAGACCGGAG
rnacentral:rRNA from 1 species